AGAAGGAAAAGCUUCUGCCCUUUAUCCAGCAAAGCCCACAGCAACCAGGAAGCAACGUUUCCAUAUUAAUGCACAACAGUGUCCCAAAAGCAGCCUGCCUCUUAACUGUGUCUCAGUUUAACUGAAAGGAACACUGAGGUCAGGAUUCCCUUAAAGAUAAGGAAGCUUUCUUAGGUGAGCCCUGCCAAGCCACUCAGCCCUUCUGCAUCUGCGUUCUCUAUCUGCUGAUGACAAGGGCAGAACAGUAGUCCCAUUUAACGUUGCUAGCUGCAAAAAAGUUGUUUCUGGAAGAAGGAUGAAGACCCUGUUCUCCCAGUGUUAACAGCAGUUUGAAAGAAAGGCUGUUGUUGGUACUGGUUUCCUUCUGUGAAGAAAGUACUCAUUAAAAAAAACCCAACCAAACAAACAAACAAAAGAGACAGUCAAACCUCCCUUCGUCCUCCUCCAAUUCCGAGAGCAAGAUUAACCAAUGAAGGAAUAUGCACCCGUCCCAGACUCUAGCAGAAGCAGGACUGCCAGAAAUGAUACGGUUACACAAACUCCGAAUAGGGUGCAUAUCCACAACAUCUCCACCUGUGCUCAGCUGGCCUCUGUGGCCACCAAGUUCCUUAGCUAUAGGAACACAGCCUGAGUCAACCUGCAGAGACGCCCUGCCACUGCCUGAACCUCUCCAGCCACUGACAACGUACAAGAACUAAAUGUGUCAUUUUAGAAGCAUAUUACUUCUCAUUGUGAAAAAAUGGCACCAAUAAAUAUGUUUGAGAUACUUUUACCCUUGCAAUAAA